rnacentral:rRNA from 1 species
UNUUGCACAAUGGGCGAAAGCCUGNUGCAGCGACGCCGCGUGGGGGAUGAAGCUUCUCGGAGUGUAAACCCCUUUCGCCUGGGACGAAUGCCCGCAAGGGAGUGACGGUACCAGGAUAAGAAGCCCCGGCUAACUACGUGCCAGCAGCCGCGGUAAGACGUAGGGGGCCAGCGUUGUUCGGAAUUACUGGGUGUAAAGGGUUCGUAGGCGGUGUGGCAAGUCGGGAGUGAAAUCUCUGGGCUCAACUCAGAGGCUGCUUCCGAAACUGCUGUGCCUGAGUGUGAGAGAGGCUCGUGGAAUUGCAGGUGUAGCNGGUGAAAUGCGUAGAUAUCUGCAGGAACACCCGUGGCGAAAGCGGCGAGCUGGAUCACUACUGACGCUGAGGAACGAAAGCUAGGGGAGCAAACAGGAUUAGAUACCCUGGUAGUCCUAGCCCUAAACGAUCAGGACUUGGGGUGCCGCCCGUUCGGGCGUCGUCCCGGAGCUAACACGUUAAGUCCUGCACCUGGGGAGUACGGUCGCAAGACUGAAACUCAAAAAAAUUGACGGA